CCUACGGGUGGCAGCAGUGGGGAAUAUUGCACAAUGGGCGCAAGCCUGAUGCAGCCAUGCCGCGUGUGUGAAGAAGGCCUUCGGGUUGUAAAGCACUUUCAGCGGGGAGGAAGGCGGUGAGGUUAAUAACCUCAUCGAUUGACGUUACCCGCAGAAGAAGCACCGGCUAACUCCGUGCCAGCAGCCGCGGUAAUACGGAGGGUGCAAGCGUUAAUCGGAAUUACUGGGCGUAAAGCGCACGCAGGCGGUCUGUCAAGUCGGAUGUGAAAUCCCCGGGCUCAACCUGGGAACUGCAUUCGAAACUGGCAGGCUAGAGUCUUAUAGAGGGGGGUAGAAUUCCAGGUGUAGCGGUGAAAUGCGUAGAGAUCUGGAGGAAUACCGGUGGCGAAGGCGGCCCCCUGGACAAAGACUGACGCUCAGGUGCGAAAGCGUGGGGAGCAAACAGGAUUAGAUACCCGUGUAGUC
rnacentral:rRNA from 1 species